AAAUAUCUUGUUUUCAAAUCAUUCCAAACAUCUACAGAAACAUCCAUCCAGAUUACACUUUGUCUAAUUGGAAGAGAUACUAAAUGCAUUAACUAGGACACCACCAUGUUGUUGCAUCUGACCCACGCCGAAUAGUUGGGAUCGCUCGUUGGUGGGAAGGGAUGGGUGCCCAAGACGAAUUCCACUUUAUUCUCCGCACUUAGCGUCGUUAUGAUAUACCUACUCCAAGAGUGCUAGUUUGUCGAGUCAAGAACUAGUGAAGCCGUGAGGUUUUCACCAGGAUGAAGAUAGAGGUAGCUGUUUGUAGAGGGUUCCGUCGUAGUCGAUCUUGCUGUUCUUUCUUCUGCCAUUUUUCUAAAAGGAAAGUAAGUAUAGUAAAAGUUAUAAAGAUAAAGAAAACAAGGAAGGCAGAGCGUGCAACAGAGCUCUUCAAAGGAAGAGCUAUGAUACCAUAACAAGAUAGGAUGUGGUCCCAUUAUUCAAUUUAUCUUAUAGGGAUGUUGUUUGUUUAUAUAUUAUUUAAACUGGUAGAAAUAUUAGAUUUUGAUAAUUUAGUAUUUAAGUGUUGUUUUUUUAUGUUGUUAAAUGUGACUUUUGAAUGUUGUGGAUUGUAUUUUGAAUGAUAUUGUACGAUGAAAAUGGUAUGAAGUUGAAUUCAUACAUUUUGGAUAAUGUAUGAACUAAUGUUUGUUUGUGUAUUAAGUAUUAACAAAGAUCUCUAAGUUGUACUGAUGAUCUAAGUCACAUAGACUAAGAUAUCAAGUGGUGAGAUGCUAAUAGGGGGUUAACGCACACCGUGACAUAUGAUAUGCACGACUUGGGUUGUAUUGAACUUACCCUGAUCCUUUCUCUUGGAUUUGCUAGUAAUCUUUGGUUAAGAUGUUAGUCUCUGGUAGAACUUACUUAAUAUGGGUCUUCCGGAAGGCGUUAGUUGUUAUUAUGUGUGUUGAAUAUGUUGGAUAUGUACAUCCACGUGAGAUCUAUGUGAUUGUUUUAUGUUUUCUCUUUUGAUUUAGGUGUGUAUAAAAUUUUAUUUUCACUAGCUUACCAUUGUUUUUCUUGUUGUUGUGAACUGCGAUGACUAUACUACAUAAAGAGAUGAUCGUACAGGUAUCGAAGGUUCUGGAGGAUUUUAGGAUCUUGUUUUGAACUUUAUAUUAUUAAUAUUUGUAUUUCUAUAAGUCAUAAUCUUGUAAUAGAAAUAUUUUGAAAACUCCAAGUAUAGAAAUUGGUAAAACUUGUACGGUGAUAGUUAGAUAUAUUUUCUGGUGUGUUAGAUAAACUCAACAACAAAUUAAAAAAAUAAAAAAAUCAAGUAAUUUGUUAAAAUUUGAAACAUAUAACAUAAAAUUGUAAAAUAAAUUAAAUUUGAUAUAAAUACAAAACACAAAAAAAAAAUUAAGUUUAAAAAACCUUGCACUAAGGAAAAAUAAAUAACAACAAUAUUUUUUUAAAUAUUAAACAUAACAAAUUACUAUAGAAAAAAAAUAGAAAUACAAAAUAAAAUAUAACCAAAAUCAUAUAACUUAUAUAAACAAAAUAAAAAAUAUAAUAAAAUAAUAAUUAUAACUAUAAACAUAAUAAUUAUACACAAAAAUAUAUUAAUACACCCUCAACAACAAAUUAAAUAAAAUCAGAAGUUGAAGUAGUUUAUUAAAAUUUCAAACAUAUAAUAUAAAUAAGAUUUUAUAUAAGUACAAAACACAAUAUUUUUCAAGUUUGAAAAACGUUGCCGUAAGAAAAAGAAAACAUAAUAACAAUAUUUUUUUUAAAAUAUUAAACAUAACGAGUUACUACAUAAAAAGAAUUUAGACAAUACAAAAUAAAAUACAACCAAAAUCAUAUAAUCAUAAAAUAGAAACAAAAUAAAAAUAUAAUAAAGUAAAUCAUAACUGUAAACGUAAUGAUUAUACACAUCAUGAAUGUGUGCAUCAAAUAUAUGAUCAUCUGCUUAUUUGUUCUUCACCAACCAUUGAUGAACCUAUCAUAAUAGUAAUACCACCACAUCUACAGGUAAAUCAUAACAGGCCAACACUUCUCACUCCCUUCUAUCAUCAACGCUUUAAUAAUCAUUUUAGUUCUUUCAAAUCAAAAUUUCACUGAUGACAAAGUUCUGCGUACACGACUCUCACAAUUUUAAAAACAAAAUUAUUUACGCUUUCAAUUAAUUCAAAAAUUGUAAAAUUUGACACCACUUCCAACUUAAUAUUAAAUUGAUAUUAACUUCUUACGACUUAUUCUUCAAAUAAAUGAAAUCAUCGAACGAUUUCAGUAUGAUACGAGAUCAUUUUACCUAUAUUUAUAAUAAAAAAGAAAUAUGCCAAAAUCGGUAAUAAAAAAAAUCAAAUUGUUCUGCUUACAUAAAUCUUCCAGGAAGAAACACGAAAUUAUAUUUGUAUGAUCUAAAAAUAUAUUUGAACCUAAAUUAUAUUUGAGUGAUAAAAACAAACAUAUUCAACAUUUUCUAUUUAUUUUAGCUCAAUCUUCAUAGUGUACGAUAUGUAGUAUUAGAAAGCAUAAAAUAAUUUUUGAAUCGAAUAUUAGAAAGCAUAGCAGAAGACAAAAUUGAAAUCAAGGUGUGUAAUAAAAGCUUCUCUAGAAUAAUGAGUGUGAAAUAUAAAAUGUAUUUUACUUUACUUUAAUUAUUUAAAUAGAUAAUGAUUUAUUAGUCACACUGACUCAAACACCACACUUGCCAGACAGAGGAAAGAAGCAACUGACAGAUCCUUCCAAUUUGUACAUCCUCUUUCUUCUUCUUUCUUCUUUCUCCUUUUUUAUGCUAAUCCCUUCUACACUUCUCUCUCUCAGUUUUACCUCUCUUCCUUACUAUUAUUCAUUUCAUUUUACUUUAUGCUUGCUUGGUCUCUAAAUUUAUCAUUGUCUUCUGCUCCUCGAUUUUACAGUGUGAAUGAAGAAAAAGGUUCUGGGUUCUUAAAUUUCCUUUCAAGCUUCUGUUUUUUGCUUGGUAAAUUGGAAUUCUUCUUCAAGCAUGCUCCUUCACUCUCUUGGUUGGGUUUAUUUUUGUCAUUUUCUUAAGUUAAUUUUCCAAAUAUAUGAGAAAAAGAAAAGGAUGAAUUGUGGGGACGGGAAAAAAAAAUUAUUAGUGUAUGUUUUCUGUAGCUAGUUUCAAAAUUUGUGUCUUUGGUUAUUUGACCAUUUCAAUUCACAUCUGGGUUCCUUGCGAUCUGAACAGUUUUUGUUUUGCGAAUGUUGUAUCACGUUUUUUGUAUUUUUAAUUUGGUGGGUUAAACUACCUGGAAACUGCAUUAAUGCAUACCUAAUAUUGUAGAUUUCAAUUAAUAAUCUUAAAUAGAAGGAAAAGGACACGCGUGAAACCAAGUGAAAAUCGUGGUUCUUGUGAAAAGGGGUUGUUUACAAGGGUUCACGGAUUGAGUAGUGUGUGGAUAAACCAUUACCAACUCAUUAUUCUUUUUUAAAAACAGAUUAUAUCAUUAAUAUUUCAAAAUACAAAGGAUUCAAUUGAAGAAUAAUUAUAUUCCGUUUGAAUUGAGUCUCCCGUUUACAAAAUCUGUUAGGAGUUUAAGUUAAGUUGGGUGGAGUUUGACUCAAUUGCACACAAAAACUUAACCCAAUCUGUUUGGAUCAUCUGCCUUUUUAUCCAAUGAACACCCCUACCUAAGACUCCUAUAAUGUGGUUAUUUAUGUUUCAGUUGUCAUUUUGAGGUGAGCAAAUCUCAUAUUGCAGGAUGUUUUUAUUAUAUUUCAUGAAAGAUUAUAUUCUGUUCUUCAAUUAUGUUUUCUUGUAUGUAAUUCUUAGUCUUAGCAAGGCCGAAACUGCAACUUAGAAUCAUUGCUGGAAGGGAGUGUUAGAUGUUUUUGUAAUUUUACUGUUAUCAAGCAAUGUGUUUUGCAUAGUCCUAUAUAUAUGUAUGACGUUUCUGGCUAUUUUGUUCUUAUCGUGCUUUCUGUCACUGUUAAAGAUAUUUUUCUGUUCCUGUUCUGAGUUGUUUCUGCAGUCAUUUGCUUGGCCACUUUGUGCUUACUUGUUUUCCUACACAUGUGGGAUGCUUGCUAUGCCUUUAGGUUUAGAGAAGCUAGGCUUGAGUCAUAUUUUAAAAAAUGUUGGGUAUUUGAUGCAGAUAUUGAGCUUAUGGGUUCUUUGUUUAGCAUGACUAAUACCAAGACCAAUCAAAGUAAAUCUGAGGAAAUAUGUCCUAAUGAGAGGUUUAAGAGGCAAAGAAUGUCACCUGCCACAGUUGAAGAAUGUCCAAGACUUAUUCCUAAUCUCCCUGAUGAGUUAUCCCUUCAGAUUAUGGCUAGACUUCCUAGAAUUUGUUACUAUCAUAUAAGGCUGGUGUCUAGGAGGUGGAAAGCAAC
rnacentral:lncRNA from 1 species